rnacentral:rRNA from 1 species
CACGUAGGGGACGAGCGUUGUCCGGAUUCAUUGGGCGUAAAGCGCGCGUAGGCGGCUCGGAAAGUCGGUCGUGAAAUGCCGGGGCUCAACCCCGGGACUGCGUCCGAUACUCCCGAGCUGGAGGCAGGUAGGGGAGAUCGGAAUUCCUGGUGUAGCGGUGAAAUGCGCAGAUAUCAGGAGGAACACCGGUGGCGAAGGCGGAUCUCUGGGCCUUGCCUGACGCUGAGGAGCGAAAGCGUGGGUAGCAAACAGG